UGAAUACGAGACGCUAAGGCGUCGAAGUAGUGUAUGUCAUACUUCCAAGAAAAGCUUGCACUGUCAUAAGUAAAAAAUGCCUGUACCAUAACCGACACAGGUGGGUAGGUAGAGUAUACUAAGGGGCGCGAGAUAACUCUCUCUAAGGAACUCGGCAAAAUAACUCCGUAACUUCGGGAGAAGGAGUACCUUAUUCUAUAAGGUUGCAAUAACAAGAUCCAAGCAACUGUUUAUCAAAAACACAGGUCUCCGCUAAGUCGUAAGACGAUGUAUGGGGGCUGACGCCUGCCCAGUGCCAGAAGGUUAAAGAAGUCGGUUAGCAUUAGCGAAGCUGGUAACUGAAGCCCUGGUGAACGGCGGCCGUAACAAUAACGGUCCUAAGGUAGCGAAAUUCCUUGUCGGGUAAGUUCCGACCCGCACGAAAGGCGUAAUGAUUUGGAUACUGUCUCGGAGAGGGGCUCGGUGAAAUAGACUUGUCUGUGAAGAUGCGGACUACCUGCACCAGGACAAAAGACCCUAUGAAGCUUUACUGUAACUUGAAAUUGAAAUUGGACUUUAUUCGCGCAGUAUAGGUGGGAGGUGUUGAUUAUAAUCUUGCGGGAUUAUUGGAGCCAUCAGUGAGAUACCACUCUUGUAAUGUUAGAUUUCUAACUUUGAAUCAUUAUCUGGUCAAAGGACAGUUUCAGGCGGGCAGUUUGACUGGGGCGGUCGCCUCCCAAACGGUAACGGAGGCGUACAAAGGUUUCCUCUGAACGGGUAGAAAUCGUAUCUAGAGUGUAAAGGCAUAAGGAAGCUUGACUGUGAGACCUACAAGUCGAACAGGGACGAAAGUCGGUCUUAGUGAUCUGACGGUACUGAGUGGAAAGGCCGUCACUCAACGGAUAAAAGUUACUCUAAGGAUAACAGGCUGAUCUCCCCCAAGAGUUCACAUCGACGGGGAGGUUUGGCACCUCGAUGUCGGCUCAUCGCAUCCUGGGGCGGUAGUACGUCCCAAGGGUUGGGCUGUUCGCCCAUGAAAGCGGUACGCGAGCUGGGUUCAGAACGUCGUGAGACAGUUCGGUCCAUAUCCGGUGUAGGCGUUAGAAUAUUGAGAGGAGCCUUCUUUAGUACGAGAGGACCGAGAAGAACAUACCUCUGGUGUACCAGUUAUCGUGCCAACGGUAAACGCUGGGUAGCUAUGUAUGGAGUGGAUAACCGCUGAAAGCAUCUAAGUGGGAAGCCCACCUCAAGAUAAGUAUUCUCAUC
rnacentral:rRNA from 1 species